GACGAACGCUGGCGGCGUGCUUAACACAUGCAAGUCGAACGGGAUCCCAAGGCUUUUUGUUUUUGGUGAGAGUGGCGAACGGGUGAGUAACACGUGAGUAACCUGCCCCCUUCUUUUGGAUAACCGCAUGAAAGUGUGGCUAAUACAGGAUAUUCCAGGCUGGUCGCAUGAUUGGUUUGGGAAAUGGUUUGGUCUGGUGGGGGAUGGGCUCGCGGCCUAUCAGCUUGUUGGUGGGGUGAUGGCCUACCAAGGCGGGGACGGGUAGCCGGCCUGAGAGGGUGGGCGGUCACGCUGGGACUGAGAUACGGCCCAGACUCCUGCGGGAGGCAGCAGUGGGGGAUUGUGCACAAUGGGCGCAAGCCUGAUGCAGCGACGCCGCGUGAGGGAUGAAGGCCUUCGGGUUGUAAACCUCUUUCGCUGGGUUGAAAGGCCAUGCUUUGGGUGUGGUUGAUUUGAACUGGUAAAGAAGUACCGGCUAACUACGUG
rnacentral:rRNA from 1 species